GUGCUCACUUUAGUAGCACAUAUACUAAAAUUAGAAAGAUUUCGAGAUUAGCAUAGUGCAUGUGCCAAGGUGACCCAUAAGUUAAUGAAGGAUUUUAUGAUUUU
ensembl:snRNA U6 U6 spliceosomal RNA